rnacentral:tRNA from 1 species
AUCUCGUUGGUGCAACUGGUAGCAUAGCAGAUCUGAAAUCUCUAGAUACGGGUUCGAGUUCCAUCUGAGAUA